rnacentral:lncRNA from 10 species
CGGCUUUCGGGCUCGGCGCAGUCUGCGGGCGGGAGGGCGCCGGCGAGGUGGCGAGGGCGGCUGGCGCGGGGGCGCGGGAGCCCCGGCUAAGCCCGGGGACGGGAGGGCGCCCCCUCCCAGCGCCCGAACCCAGGCAACUUCCCGCCGCCCGGGCAGGAGUUUCUCCGUAGCCCACGGACAUCCGGGAGGCUUGUGGAGGGCAGGCGGGUAACCCCCACUCCCACCCCACCUUUAUCCAGGGGCAGCCAGAGGAGCCAGCAGGUCGGGACUCGCUGAGGGGGCUCCACGCGGGGCCUCCCACGCACAGGGACAGCGUCUGCUAUGUUGUCCAGGCUGGUCUCAAAUUCCUUGCCUCAAGCGAUCCAACUGCCUCAGCCUCCCGAGUCACUGGGAUUACAGGCAUGAAGACAUUGUUUUCAAGGGAUCACUCUGCUUUGUGGAGACUAGACUGUGAGGAGCAAGCCUCGAAAGGGGAGAGCUGUUUCGAGGUUCUCCACUGCAGCCUGCUCCACAGCCACGCCCUCCCAUCCAUGGCUACACACUCACAUUCUGGGCCUCUUCCCUGGACCAGAUUGCACAGCAGGGCCGCUCUCUCCAGUGCCUCCAGCUGGCCCCUGCUGACAAGUCCGUGUUGUGUCAUGUUGGGAGUCUGGGCAAGGCACGAGGGCCCCUCUCUAGCAGGUCCCGAUGGCUCCUCCACACCUUCAGGAAAAGCAAGAGAUAAACCAUUGCAUGCUGAGCUCUGCAGGGAACUGGAGGCGGACACCAUCCAUUCUGCAAACCUGCAAUGGUGACACUUCUGGAAUCUCCUUGCCUCUUCCAGGGCUGCAGCCUCUAAGGCAGGGCCCAAAGCAGGAUGGAGAUAAAGAUGCCCAGAAGAAACCAAAGCCUUCUUGGGGGAAACUGUAAGAAGUCAGGAGGGAAUUCUUUAUUAGAAAUUGAAGAUCCCGCUGGGCGUGGUGGCUCAUGCCUGUAAUCCCAGCACUUUGGGAGGCCGAGGUGGACAGAUCACCUGAGGUAGAAGUUCGAGACCAGCCUGGCCAACAUAGCAAAACCCCAUCUCUACUAAAAAUACAAAAAUUAGCCGGGCGUGAUGGCACGCACCUGUAAUCCCAGCUACUCAGGAAGCUAAGGCAGGAGAAUCACUUGAACUUGGGAGGUGGAGGUUGUAGUGAGCCAAGAUGGCGCCAUUGCACUCCAGCCUAGGCAACAAGAGCGAGACUCCAUCUCAAAAAAAAAAAAGAAAAAGAAAAGAAAAGAAAAAAAAAGAAAGAAAGAAGUUGAAGAUCAAAGCUGGAGACCAGGACUCUUGACAAAUCUGACCAGAUUUGAAACACACCUAAGAAAUGUAAGACUCAAUUAAUUCUACAUGAGCCUAAGAAUUAAACCAAAUAAAGAAUGACAACACAAGUAAUGAGGAUACUGGCUUAUGCCUAGGUGUUUGUAUUUCUUUAGGUCUAACUCCAACUGUAUAUCCUAUUUUAAAUUAAUAUUUGUUAUUCUUUGUUUUUUGUUAUUUUAAUAAAAAGCUCUAUUUAAAUGUAUUUAAAUAACAUUAGCCAGAUGUGGUGGCUCAUGCCUGUAAUCCCAGCACUUUGGGAGGCUGAGGCAGGUGGAUUGCUUGAGCUCAGGAGUUUGAGGACAGCCUGGCCAACAUGAUGGAACCACGUCUCUACAAAAAUACAAAAAUUAGCCAGGCAUGGUGGCACACACCUGUAGUCUCAGCUACUUGGGAGGCUGAGGUGGGAAGACUGCUUGAGCCUGGGAGGUUCAGGCUACCAUGAGCCUUGAUCACACCACUGCUCUCAAGCCAAGGCAACAGAGUGAGACCCCAUCUCAAAACAAAACAAAAAGAGAACACUAAUGCCGUUAGAAAAGAAUGCUUUCAUUACUAACACCACUGGGGAGCCAAGCAAUUCAAACCCGCCUGACUCCAUGUGGCAGCUUAUUUCAAGUACAGGCAAGGAGACUCAAAGGAAAUAAACAGUGUGUGGGGGUUCUAGCGAUGCAAACCUAUAAGGUUCUUGUAACUAUCAUAAUGCUUGAUCAAUACUUAUUAACAAACCACAUUCUAGGAGGAACAAGUUUUAAAAGCCUGAAAAUUGGACAGCCAACGUCCU